GACGAACGCUGGCGGCGUGCUUAACACAUGCAAGUCGAACGGAAAGGCCCUGCUUUUGUGGGGUGCUCGAGUGGCGAACGGGUGAGUAACACGUGAGUAACCUGCCCUUGACUUUGGGAUAACUUCAGGAAACUGGGGCUAAUACCGGAUAGGAGCUCCUGCUGCAUGGUGUGGGUUGGAAAGUUUCGGCGGUUGGGGAUGGACUCGCGGCUUAUCAGCUUGUUGGUGGGGUAGUGGCUUACCAAGGCUUUGACGGGUAGCCGGCCUGAGCGGGUGACCGGCGACAUUGGGACUGAGAGACGGACCAGAAUCCUACGGGAGGCAGAAGGGGGGAAUAUUGCAGAAUGGGCGGAAGCCUGAUGCAGCAACGCCGCGUGGGGAAUGACGGCCUUCGGGUGGUAAACCUCUGUGAGUAGGGAAAAAGCGCAAGUGACGGUACCUACAGAAAAAGCACCGGCUAACUACGUG
rnacentral:rRNA from 1 species